rnacentral:rRNA from 1 species
AUACAGAUUGAUGGCGACCGGCGCACGGGUGAGUAACGCGUAUGCAACUUACCUAUCAGAGGGGGAUAGCCCGGCGAAAGUCGGAUUAAUACCCCAUAAAACAGGGGUCCCGCAUGGGAAUAUUUGUUAAAGAUUCAUCGCUGAUAGAUAGGCAUGCGUUCCUUUAGGCAGUUGGCGGGGUAACGGCCCACCAAACCGACGAUGGAUAGGGGUUCUGAGAGGAAGGUCCCCCACAUUGGUACUGAGACACGGACCAAACUCCUACGGGAGGCAGCAGUGAGGAAUAUUGGUCAAUGGCCGAGAGGCUGAACCAGCCAAGUCGCGUGAAGGAAGAAGGAUCUAUGGUUUGUAAACUUCUUUUAUAGGGGAAUAAAGUGGAGGACGUGUCCUUUUUUGUAUGUACCCUAUGAAUAAGCAUCGGCUAACUCCGUGCCAGCAGCCGCGGUAAUACGGAGGAUGCGAGCGUUAUCCGGAUUUAUUGGGUUUAAAGGGUGCGUAGGUGGUGAUUUAAGUCAGCGGUGAAAGUUUGUGGCCCAACCAUAAAAUUGCCGUUGAAACUGGGUUACUUGAGUGUGUUUGAGGUAGGCGGAAUGCGUGGUGUAGCGGUGAAAUGCAUAGAUAUCACGCAGAACUCCGAUUGCGAAGGCAGCUUACUAAACCAUAACUGACACUGAAGCACGAAAGCGUGGGGAUCAAACAGGAUUAGAUACCCUGGUAGUCCACGCAGUAAACGAUGAUUACUAGGAGUUUGCGAUACAAUGUAAGCUCUACAGCGAAAGCGUUAAGUAAUCCACCUGGGGAGUAC